rnacentral:lncRNA from 1 species
CAUGAUCGAGGACGUGGGCAUGUGGCUUUGCGCUCCGCUCCUAUCUGCCCUAUAAAUAGUUGAAGCCUCACCCACGCCGGCGGCUGGCGGAUCCAUCUCACAUUCAAUCCAUCCACCGGCAAGCAGUUCAUCCAUCCCCGACGAGAGUUCAUCACUCAAGCACUUCUCAUACGCUCGUCCGCGUACGCGCCGUCGGUGGUUCGUCUCGUCGUCAUCGUCGUUGCAGCCGCUGGCCGUUCGUCCUCGUCGUCGCUGGUCACGCCGCUCCUCGUCGGCCACACACAUCGCCGGCUGCUCGUCGUCCGCGCCACUCAUCAUCGACAUCGUCGGGUGUCCAUCAUCUGAAUCGUUCGCAAGCUGCUCCACGCCGGCGGCUGUUCAUCUACAUCACCACUUCACACAUACGGGAGGACAUUCAAGAGAAGGUGGGAUACUAUGUUGCCCUCAUGCCCUUAGUUUCAUCCGCUUGGUUCGGAUCAAGGAGUUUUUUCUUCGUACACAUGAAACUUUGUCCUUAGUUUCGUUCGUUUGGUUCGGAUCAAGGAGUCAUCUCUUUUCAUAGAUCAAAGCAUAUCCUUAGGUUCGGCCAUUUGGUUCGGAUCAAGGAACAUAAAAUUUACCAAAUCAUGUUCUUAGAUUCGGCCUUUUGGUUCAAAUCAAGGAACAUAUAACUCAUCAAGUCAUGCCCUUAGAUUCGGCCUCGUGGUUCGGAUCAAGGAUCUACUUUUUUCUUCGCGUGGACAUGCCAUGUGUGAAAAAAAUCAUAAAAUGCAAGGAGUCAUCUCUUCUCAUAGAUCAAAGCAUAUCCUUAGGUUCAGCCGUUUGGUUCGGAUCAAGGAACAUAAAAUUCAUCAAAUCAUGUCCUUAGGUUCGGCUGUUUGGUUCGCAUCCAGGAACAUAAAAUCUACCAAAUCAUGUCCUUAUGUUCGGUCGUUUGGUUCGGAUCAAGGACCUUAGAAUCCACCAGAUCAUGUCCUUAGGUUCGGCCGUUUGGUUCGGAUCAAGGAACAUAAAAUCCACCAAAUCAUGUCCUUAGGUUCGGCCGUUUGGUUCGGAUCAAGGAACAUAAAAUCAACCAAAUCAUGUCCUUAGGUUCGUUCGUUUGGUUCGGAUCAAGAAACAUAAAAUUCACCAAAUCAUGUCCUUAGAUUCGGCCGUUUGGUUCAGAUCAAGGAACAUAAAAUUCACCAAAUCAUGUCCUUAGGUUCGUCCGUUUGGUUCGGAUCAAUGAAAUAAAAUUCACCAAAUCAUGUCCUUAGGUUCGGCCUUUUGGUUCGGAUCAAAGAACAUAUAACUCAUCAAAUCACGCCCUUAGGUUCGGCCUUGUGGUUCCGAUCAAGGACGUACUUUUUUUCUUCACGUGGACAUGCCAUGUGUGCAAAAAUUCAUAAAAUGCUCUACGCUUGGGUUUCUUACAUUUGAAUUCCAUGACAUGAAAGUACAUUUCAUGCAUGGGUUCUUUCUCACGAAUUCCAUGACGCGGGCCAUAAAAUGACCAAGCCAUGAGCCAAAGAAAAUACACAAUUACGCUAUGUCAUGUGUUCUUCUCAUAUGAAUUCCAUGGCAUAAGUCAUAAAACCAAAGAAAAUACAAAUUAUGCUAUGUCAUGGGUUCUUCUCAUAUGAAUUCCAUGACAUAAGUCAUAAAAUAAAGGAAAUACAUAGUAUCUUAUGUCAUGGGUUCCUUCAUACGAAUUCCACGGCAUAAGUUACAAGUUGACAAAAUAUAUAAAUAUCUUAUGGCAUGGAUUCUUCCAUACGAAUUCCGUGUCAUGAGCCAUAAAAUAAUAAAAUCACGCUAUGACAUGGGUUCUCUCAUGCGAAUUCCAUGGCAUACAACAUCCAUAUAACAAAUACACAAUUACGGCACGUCAUGGGUUCUUCAAAAUAAAUUCCAUGGCAUAAGCCAUCAACCAAAUAGAACAACAAUUAUGCUUCAAGCAGGAGUUCUGUGAAAUGAAUUCCAUGACAUGAGCGUUAAAUAUUAAAAAUGCAUGGAUGCAUCCUAUGCCUGAAAAGAGGAGGCCAAAUCAAGCUUGGACCAAAUCAACCUUCAUUUUAAAUCAUAACAUAAAUGAAGUUGAGCACAAACAAAAUAAUUGCAUGAUAAAGAAAUAUAUGGCAAACCAUCAAACAUAACGGCGUCGAAGAUAAUCAACGCACAUAAACUUGAAGUUCCGAGGCCGGAGUUCAACGUCGAUCGCGAGGAGGAUUUUUCUUGUAGCAUAUUGUAAUAGGAAUGUGUUGCAAUCUCAUGUAAUAGAUAUGUUGGAAUUCUUAAUCAGGGGUUUUCUCUUCGGAGAUGUAAUUAACAGAAUUUUUAUGUAAAUAUAAGAAUUCUGGAAAUAUGUACCUCAAUGUUUGAUCUUUAUUUUGUAUAUUGUAUGCGCUAUAUUUUAUUCACUCUGUAUCAACGACGUGGACGCGUGUUUUCACGCCUCGCCAUUUUCUCGUCAUCAGGAACAAGUAAGUUUAUUCUUAUAAAGAGAUUUAUAAAUCAUUU